rnacentral:rRNA from 1 species
GUCUACGGCCAUGCCACCCUGACUACGCCUGAUCCCAUCUGAUCUCAGAAGCUAAGCAGGGUCGGGCCUAGUUAGUAUUUGGAAGGGAGACCACCUAGGAAGACCAGGUGCUACAGGCA